rnacentral:rRNA from 1 species
CCUACGGGUGGCUGCAGUGAGGAAUAUUGGUCAAUGGACGCAAGUCUGAUGCAGCGACGCCGCGUGAGCGAAGAAGUAUUUCGGUAUGUAAAGCUCUAUCAGCAGGGAAGAAAAUGACGGUACCUGACUAAGAAGCUCCGGCUAAAUACGUGCCAGCAGCCGCGGUAAUACGUAUGGAGCAAGCGUUAUCCGGAAUUACUGGGUGUAAAGGGAGCGUAGGCGGCAAGGCAAGUCUGAUGUGAAAACCCAGGGCCCAACCCUGGGACUGCAUUGGAAACUGUAUUGCUUGAGUACCGGAGAGGCAGGCGGAAUUCCUAGUGUAGCGGUGAAAUGCGUAGAUAUUAGGAGGAACACCAGUGGCGAAGGCGGCCUGCUGGACGGUAACUGACGCUGAGGCUCGAAAGCGUGGGGAGCAAACAGGAUUAGAUACCCGAGUAGUC